rnacentral:snoRNA from 1 species
AAUCACGAUGACGACUCCAUAAUAUUCAAGCUCAACAGACCGGAUUGCAGGCUUCUCUAUUUUGUAGAGUUUGUUUGCGUGUCGAGUACCCCGCUGAACUGAGUGAUU